GGUCGAGGUCGAGCUCGUGGACAUGAUCCUUUAUCUCCUCACCCCAUCUCUGAUUCAUCAGACUCCGAUCCAUCCAGUCAUGAUAUCUAUUAGAUCCAGUGUAGUCUGUCUUUUCUUUAGUUUUUGUCUAGGAUCUAUCUUGUAGGCCAUGUAAUGCAAUGUUGACUGAUUGACUCUUGGAUAGUUUCUAUCCAUAUCUUUUGUACUCUAAGUCAACACUU
rnacentral:lncRNA from 1 species